rnacentral:rRNA from 1 species
CUUUCCAGAGAUGGAUUGGUGGCCUUCGGGGAACUUUAGAUACAGGUGCUGCAUGGCUGUCGUCAGCUCGUGUCGUGAGAUGUUGGGUUAAGUCCCGCAACGAGCGCAACCCUUUUCCUUAUUUGCCAGCGGGUCAUGCCGGGAACUUUAAGGAUACUGCCAGUGACAAACUGGAGGAAGGCGGGGAUGACGUCAAGUCAUCAUGGCCCUUACGGCCAGGGCUACACACGUGCUACAAUGGUCGGUACAAAGGGUUGCUACCUCGCGAGAGGAUGCUAAUCUCAAAAAGCCGAUCGUAGUCCGGAUCGCAGUCUGCAACUCGACUGCGUGAAGUCGGAAUCGCUAGUAAUCGCGGAUCAGAAUGCCGCGGUGAAUACGUUCCCGGGCCUUGUACACACCGCCCGUCACACCAUGGGAGUUUGUUGCACCAGAAGUAGGUAGUCUAACCGCAAGGAGGACGCUUACCACGGUGUGGCCGAUGACUGGGGUGAAGUCGUAACAAGGUAAGCGUAGAUGA